rnacentral:rRNA from 1 species
GACGAACGCUGGCGGCGUGCUUAACACAUGCAAGUCGAACGGAAAGGCUCCAGCUUGCUGGAGUACUCGAGUGGCGAACGGGUGAGUAACACGUGGGUAAUCUGCCCUGCACUCUGGGAUAAGCCUGGGAAACUGGGUCUAAUACUGGAUAUGACCUUUCUCCUUAUGGGGUUUGGUGGAAAGUUUUUCGGUGUAGGAUGAGCCCGCGGCCUAUCAGCUUGUUGGUGGGGUGAUGGCCUACCAAGGCGACGACGGGUAGCCGGCCUGGGAGGGGGAUCGGCCACAAUGGGACUGAGAUACGGCCCAGACUCCUACGGGAGGCAGCAGUGGGGAACAUUGCACAAUGGGAGGAAGCCUGAUGCAGAGACGCCGGGUUAGGGAUGACGGCCUUCGGGUUGUAAACCUCUUUCAGCAGGGACGAAGCGUAAGUGACGGUACCUGCAGAAGAAGCACCGGCUAACUAUGUG